rnacentral:lncRNA from 10 species
GCUAUCCAGGGCUGGCUGAAGGGCCCGGGACACUUGCUCCGCUCUCUCUUGGAGCCGCCCGGAACGCGGGGCGCGAGGCUGCUGCAGGGCCCCCAGGAAGUCUGGCAGUUGGGAGGGCAGUGUGAAGACGGGCACGGUGCGGAAAAGGGCGGGUACGGCGUCCGGGUGGAGCAGCCUGUCGAAGCAGGCCCCCACGUAGCUGCCGGGCGCCCGGCCCUGCAAGAAGUCGGGCAGCACGCAGCUGAGCGAGGCGCGGAAGGCGUCGUGCGGGCCGUGCGCCCCGGGCCCGGACACCCCAUCCUGUAGCCACUCGCUGCACAGCGCCACCGCACCGGGAGAGAAGAGCAAGACCACCACGCCGCCCUCCUGCAGGGUCUGGCGCCGCUGCGCGUGAAACCAAGCCACGGGCCCCUGCGCGCUCAGUUCACGACGGCUCCACAGGUCUACGGCCACGCGCAGCGGCAGCUGGCACAGGGCCGACGCCAGGGCGCCCACCAGGCGCUCGAAACCCGAGUCAUCGGCUGAGUAGAGGAGCAGAGCCGCGCGGCCCCUGGCGGCCGCUGCCGGAGAAAACAGAUGGGGAGGGAAGAGGUGAGCUGGCACAGGCCUGGGGAAUGGGGAGCCGGGAAGCGCUCACCUUUCGCGUGAUCCUUUUUGAGAAGGAGGAUGAGGGAAAGCGCAGCGGCAAAGAGUAGGCAGGCCAGCCACACGAGGGCCCAGCGCUUGUGGAUGUCUGGGAGACCCAGAGAAGAAGAGUUAGAAACUUACCCUCCACAGAGAAGAAAAACUGAGACUUAACAGAAAUGAAUUGGGCCGGGUGCGGUGGCUCAUGCCUUUAUAUAAUCCCAGCACUUCGGGAGGCCGAGGCGGGCAGAUCACGAGGUCAGGACAUCAAGACCAUCCUGGCUAACACGGUGAAACCCCGUCUCUACUAAAAAUACAAAAAAUUAGCCGGGCGUGGUGGCACACGCCUGUAAUCCCAGCUACUCGGGAGGCUGAGGCAAGAGAAUCGCUUGAACUCGGGAGGCAGAGGUUGCAGUGAGCCGAGAUCGCGCCAUUGCACUCCAGCCUGGGCGACAGGGUGAGACUCCUCUCAAAACAAAACAAAACAAAACAAAAAACGAAGAAAUGAUUUGCCCAGAGUCCACAGCACAGUGUCAGAGCCAGUGGAUGAAUAUAGCUCCAUCUGUUUAGGGGUCUUUGAAUAAGUAAUGUCACCCUCUGCCUCAGUUUUCUCCUCUGUAAAGUUGUACCUGUGUCAUAGGGUUGGUGUGAGGACUAAAUAUAUUAAUACAUAUAAAGCUUAACACAAUGUGUUAAUACAUACUUAACACAAUGCCGAGCAUCUUAAGUGCUAAAAUGUCAGCUGUUUUUCUCCCCUAAGCUAGGGUUGCUGGGCCCUUGAUCUUGCUGUCCUGGGUGUCUGCAACUACCUGGUGUCCCUGCCCUGUCUUUUUUUUUUUUUUUUUACCUCCAAUUGAUUUGCCUUGAAUUGAUUCAUGACAGCCUCAGAGAUCUUUUAAAAAUAUAAAUUUGGGCCAGGUGCGGUGACUCACGACUAUAAUCCCAGCACUUUGGGAGGCCGACGCGGGCGGAUCACGAGGUCAGGAGUUCAAGACCAGCCUGGCCAAGAUGGUGAAACCCCAUCUCUACUAAAAAUACAAAAAUUAGCAGGGCAUGGUGGCAGGCGCCUAUUAAUCCCAGCUACCCGGGAGGCUGAGGUAGAGAAUUGCUUGAACCCGGGAGGCAGAGGUUGCAGUUAGCCGAGAUCGCGCCAUUGCACUCCAGCCUGGGCAACAGAGUGAGACUCUGCCUCAAAAAUAAAUAAAAAAAUAAGUAUAUAUAUAUAUAUAUAUAUAUAUAUAUAUAUGUGUGUGUGUGUGUGUGAAAUAUAUAAAAAUUUGAUCGUAGCUCCUGCUGCUCUCAACAUAAGAUCCAAAUCCCCUACAUGUCUCCUGCAUCUUUAUCUCAUGACAGAAACCUGCCUGUCCAAGACCCUGUAUCUCUACCCCCUUCCCCUAGCUCAGUCUUCAGAGUUUUGCUGGAACCUUCCCCCUGAGCCCCUCAC